GAUCCUGGCUCAGGAUGAACGCUAGCUACAGGCUUAACACAUGCAAGUCGAGGGGCAGCAUUUCAGUUUGCUUGCAAACUGAAGAUGGCGACCGGCGCACGGGUGAGUAACACGUAUCCAACCUGCCGAUAACUCUGGGAUAGCCUUUCGAAAGAAAGAUUAAUACCGGAUGGCAUAUGAUUAUCGCAUGAUAAUCCUAUUAAAGAAUUUCGGUUAUCGAUGGGGAUGCGUUUCA
rnacentral:rRNA from 1 species